rnacentral:lncRNA from 1 species
UGACCUGUGUCUUCAGCCAGACCCGUGCCCUCUUGUUGACACCAAAGAUGGCACUCCUGGAGGUGGAGGGGCAAGGAUUCUCCUCUUCUGCUCGUGUGUUUAUGGAAAACCAGCUCUCUACCGGGCUGUGUCUGGGGAAGUAGCUUUGGCCUCAGCCAAGCAGAGCCGAGUCACAGAGAGCAGUUCCAGGGCCAGGCGAAGUGAAUUCAAGCCCCUGGCUGGGGGAAGCGUUCGUUGGCCAUUUCUGGGAAAGAAUUCUUGAGGACCCCCACCCCACACGUUUCGAAAGGAGACAUAAUCAGCAAACGGCUCGAAAAGCAGCUAACUUAAGAGUAAAUAACGAUCAAGAGGUACCAUGGAAGAGACAAUGUCCUGUUGGCCAGCACAAUUAAAAUCAAUAUCACUGAGGCAGAAGACUCAGCGGCAGCUCGACUGUGUGUGGCUCCAACUCACAGAUGACUCAUGAAGAGAGAGGUGUAGUUCGGCCCAGAACCUCAGGUGUUGGCGUCUCUGUGGUGCAGAGGGAACGGCACAGCAGAGCAGCCCAAGUCAUGGUGGCCAGGCAGCAGAAAGCAGGAUGACUUCCUUUAUCACUGGGGUUUUGUUCUUGUCUGCUUUUCAUUCUGUGUGACUCCCAGGCUAUGGGCUGGCUCUGCUUACAGUGUGAAUAAGUGUUCCUUCUUGUUAAUUCUCUGGU